rnacentral:rRNA from 1 species
UACGUAGGGAGCGAGCGUUGUCCGGAUUCAUUGGGCGUAAAGAGCUCGUAGGCGGCUUGGCAAGUCGGGUGUGAAAACUUCAGGCUCAACCUGGAGAUGCCACUCGAUACUGCUAUGGCUAGAGUCCGGUAGGGGACCACGGAAUUCCUGGUGUAGCGGUGAAAUGCGCAGAUAUCAGGAGGAACACCGGUGGCGAAGGCGGUGGUCUGGGCCGGCACUGACGCUGAGGAGCGAAAGCGUGGGGAGCGAACAGG